GCGGAUAUAGUUUAAUGGUAGAACUCCGGCUUGCCAAGUCGGUGAUCCGGGUCCGAUUCCCGGUAUCCGCA
rfam:Candidatus Kaiserbacteria bacterium RIFCSPLOWO2_01_FTLL_53_17 rifcsplowo2_01_scaffold_24500, whole genome shotgun sequence.